rnacentral:lncRNA from 1 species
UCAUACAGUAAUACUUGUUCAAAUUUCGAGUUAAAAAUUGGAAAUCCCUGACUGAUGAAGUUUGUGGGUAACUUCACUGCAAACCCUCACGAGACAACACUCGUCCACUAGGGUAACCUAGGGGUUUAACGGCUUGUUGCACGUGCUAAGUGCAAUCGUAAUGCUCUACGAAAGUGAGUAUUUAUCUUAGUAUAUUUAUAUAAUAAAUAACAUUUUUGCACUCUCAUUUUAUCAUUUU